rnacentral:rRNA from 1 species
GACGGGGAGCACAGGCGCGAAAACUUUACAAUGCGGGAAACCGUGAUAAGGGGACACCGAGUGCCAGCAUCAUAUGCUGGCUGUCCGGAUGUGUAAAAUACAUCCGUUAGCAAGGGCCGGGCAAGACCGGUGCCAGCCGCCGCGGUAAUACA